rnacentral:rRNA from 1 species
GACGAACGCUGGCGGCGUGCUUAACACAUACAAGUCGAACGGUAAGGCCCCUCGGGGUACACGAGUGGCGAACGGGUGAGUAACACGUGGGUGAUCUGCCCUGCACUUCGGGAUAAGCCUGGGAAACUGGGUCUAAUACCGGAUAGGACCCUGGGAUGCAUGUCCUGGGGUGGAAAGCUUUUGCGGUGUGGGAUGGGCCCGCGGCCUAUCAGCUUGUUGGUGGGGUGAUGGCCUACCAAGGCGACGACGGGUAGCCGGCCUGAGAGGGUGACCGGCCACACUGGGACUGAGAUACGGCCCAGACUCCUACGGGAGGCAGCAGUGGGGAAUAUUGCACAAUGGGCGCAAGCCUGAUGCAGCGACGCCGCGUGAGGGGUGACGGCCUUCGGGUUGUAAACCUCUUUCAGCACCGACGAAGCGCAAGUGACGGUAGGUGCAGAAGAAGGACCGGCCAACUACGUGCCAGCCGCCGCAGUAA